GACUGCCAGCCCCACCAGGCUGGUGGCCACUAAGCACCACUAGGCAUAGAAGGGCCAUCCGUUCCCCGUGGUGAAAGCCCUCCUUUCCCAGCAAGGGCAGCUCAGAGCCCUCAACUUCCUUCUGCUUGUUGUGGUCUCUGUGUGUGUCUCCAUUGCUCCGGUGGGAAUGGAUGGGGCUCUGCAUAGGCUCUCUCCUGCCCUGAAGGAUCUCACAGGUCCCCUUGGUCUUUGACAGCAGUGAAGCUCUCGCCAUCCUUCAUGCCCUUCCGCCUUUCCCGUCUUGCUUCUUCCCGUUAACUCGUGGCUCCAUAAGUUCGUAAGUCACAAAGGCUUUCCCAAGAAUUCCUGGAUCCCCCAGACUGGAGUUGUACCCUCGGGACUUCCCCAGUGCCUUGGGUGAAAGUUCCAGACUUUCCCCUUAGCUCAAACUUCUCCCCUCUUUCCACUCUCACACCCAGAAACUCCUAUUUUAACCUCAGUCUUCUAUGCCAUUUCCAGUUUUUCCCUCCUCUCAACUCCCUGGCCCUGCCCUCUUCCUCCAUUUACCUCCCUCCAUCCCUAAUGUGUUUACCUCCAUCCUGCUAUCCUCUAAGUUCUAAAACUUAGAGCCCUCGGUGAAAACAAGCAAGGAAUGACACAUUCUUCAAGACUUCUGUUGGCCUUCCUGGUUUAUCCUUCACCUCCUUCCCCCACAAGAUGAUUCUCCAGGCCAUGCAGCCAAGGGCUCUACCUCUCUGAUCUUUGGGAGGUUAGGGAGAGAAGCUGGCCUGUCGGAGACAUCAUGGUUUGAAGGUCGGCUUUGGUUUCUGCAGCUGGAAAUUCCCUGAAGCUCCUGCCCAGCCUGCCACGAGCCCAGAGGCUCCUGUUCUGGCCAAAGAUUCAUAUCCUUGGUGGCUCUCGGCCACUGUGCCACCUUGCUUACAUCUGUCCUGCUCGUAUGUGUCACGGAUUUUCCCCCUUUCUCUCAAAAGACGGGAGAGCCUCAUGACUCUCCAGGUGUGGAGAAAUCUCCAUUACCAGUAGCCCUGCCACCAAAAAAUCCAUUUUUCUUCAGAGAUGCUUGGCCACCAGCCUUCCUUCCAUCCUCAGAUUCCAUCCACACAAGUGUGGACUUGACCCGAGGUCGUCUGAAGGGGCUGCUGGUGACCUGGACCCUAGACCUCACCACCUGCUCUGAGAAGAGUUGACAUGUCACCUCCCACAGACAUUCCUUCCACCGUCCUCCCUGAACCUGGGACAUUUCGCUCUGGAGUAUUUUCAAGGAAGCUUGUUGUGUUUUAAUGAAGUAUUUUUCAGGGUUCAAAUGUUAUUUUUUAUAAAUGCAGCAUUUUAAUGACAGACUCAAUAUGAAAGAUAGGUCUUCCUGGGCUCUAUAUUUAAUUUCACAAGGCAGCAUGCCACAGGAGGGAAAAGCACAGGGCUAAGGCUCUUGGGGACAUGGCUUUGUCUCCAUCUUGCUGUGUGACCAAGGACGAGUCAUGUUCCCUCUCAGUGCCUCAGUUUCCCAUCUGUAGAACGAGGGGCUUUGACUAGGUGAGCUUUGAAGUUUCAUCCAGCUCUUACGUCCUAGGGCCUUCAUUCCCCAUUGGCACCCCCUCCUUUCUUCACGUUCCUCCCCACCUCAAAUGAGCUGCACACAUAACGCCUGCCCCAUGAUCACAUCCUCAGAUGCCUUGGGUGGCCACUAGCCCCCUUGCUAGAGUCUGAGGUGGGCUCCGUGGUCUCGGCCACCCAGAGAUGCUCAUACCUGCAGGGGUAAGGCCCUACCCAUUCAACAGGUUACCAACAGCGUUCACAAAAGCCCUCUCGCAUGGACACAUCUAAAUUAUCCCGGGUGUCUGUGUCACUGAGGCAUUCCGAAUUUGAAGUGUUCAUUGUGAUGUGGUCCUUGAAGCUGGAGGGAGGCGGUUCUGACUUCAGAGAGAGGCCAGGCUGGAGGAGACAGGCCCAGAGGGUGCCCCACAGGGGUGUCAGGUUUGUAUUUGAGGACAGCUUGGAAAUGCAUUUCAAGCCACAGAGGAGAACACACGGCAAAAGGUCCGUGUUGAAAUGGAUGUUCUGACUCCAGAACCCGGGUCCUGAAGACCGAGUCUGGACACUGGGCUCCAUUCCCACUGGAGGAGGGGGAGGUAUCACGCCCUGGGCGGCUAGGAGGUGGGCACUCACCCCAGGCUAGUGCUUUUCCAGCCCCUCCCGGUGACACUACCAUCCUCCUGGUGAAAGCUUGCGAAGCAAGAGCUGAUGGUGGAAGUCUGCAACGUCAAACCCAUCUUGUAAAUCGGCCAACCCAUCAACCUCCCAUCCGUAAGAGAAAUGGCGUCGUAUGUUUCCUUAACACCUUCCCUCCCGAGGGAGGGAAAGAACCACCCCCCCACCUCAACUUUGCUGCCCACUCCUGCUGUGCCCCGGAAUACCACUCCAUGAGAGGACUUGUUCAUUUGCUUCGUAGUGGCAAAUAUUCCUCUAGUUCUGUAACUCAACUAGACAUUUUGUAGUAAAGAAUUCUUGAAAUUCUCUAAUAAAAAGAAAUUCUUACUGUAAUAUUUUUAGUUUGGGGACACAAUUUCCUAAGGUGUGUGGGGGGGGAUUAAUGAACAUUUAUACGCAUUAGCCCAAUUUACGGAUUCCGUGUUUAUUAUAUGGUAGUACUGAUGAAAAGUACCUUUCUAUCUGUACCUUUACACAGUUUCUCCGUUCCUCGUAAGGAAGCUUCACGAUGAGCAGUGCUUAUGCACCUGCUGUUUCUGUACAGAUCUUAGCGUUCACUUACUUGUCAAAGCACAUUCUAUAUGUACUGUAAACAGGUAUCCCUUUAGUAAGAUUUAGUCUUAAGGAUUUUUCCACUUUUGUCAGUAACAGAUAUUUAUGGAUUAAAAGAAAUAAUAAAGCCGUUUCAACAUAA
rnacentral:lncRNA from 1 species